GGGGAUGACUGGCUUUGACAGCGUGUAGAAGCGGUAGGUAAGCAUGCAGAGUUUUGGUGGCCUAAACUCUAUAAUCCCAAGACCAUCGAACUAUAAUUGGCGAAAAUAACAACUACGCUCUCGCUGCUUGAUCUGAAGUACAGUAAGAUCGCUUUAUUCGCCUCACAGUGAGGCGAACGAGACAUCACUCCAUUGCCUUGUUUCGAGACGUUUGGAUAAAGUGGUGCAGAGAAAAUCGAAAAUAGGAUCCGGCAAGCCUUGGGUCGGAUCUGAAAUUAAAAGGAUAAGUAUAUGAUUGGUCGUCGCGAACCUGUCAUGUAACGAAAAUCAAUUCGCAGACUAAGCAUGUAGAAAGCUUAUUGGUUCCACGUUUGGACGAGGGUUCAAUUCCCUCCAUCUCCACUU
rnacentral:tmRNA from 1 species